rnacentral:rRNA from 1 species
GACGAACCGUGCGAACGUUGUUCGGAUUCACUGGGCUUAAAGGGCGCGUAGGCGGCUCUGCACGUUCGUUGUGAAAUCGCCCGGCUCAACUGGGCGGGGUCAGCGGAUACGGCAGAGCUUGAGCAAGCUAGGGGGCAAUGGAAUUCCCGGUGUAGUGGUGGAAUGCGUAGAUAUCGGGAGGAACACCAGUGGCGAAGGCGGUUGCCUGGGGCUUUGCUGACGCUGAUGCGCGAAAGCGUGGGGAGCGAUCCGG